rnacentral:rRNA from 1 species
UGGGGAAUCUUGCACAAUGGGCGAAAGCCUGAUGCAGCCAUGCCGCGUGAAUGAUGGAGGCCUUAGGGUUGUAAAAUUCUUUCGCCAGGGAUGAUAAUGACAGUACCUGGUAAAGAAGCCCCGGCUAACUUCGUGCCAGCAGCCGCGGUAAUACGAAGGGGGCUAGCGUUGUUCGGAAUUACUGGGCGUAAAGCGCACGUAGGCGGACUUUUAAGUCAGAUGUGAAAUCCCGGGGCUCAACCUCGGAACUGCAUUUGAUACUGUCGAUCUGGAGUCCGGGAGAGGUGCAUGGAAUUCCGAGUGUAGAGGUGAAAUUCGUAGAUAUUCGGAGGAACACCAGUGGCGAAGGCGGCUCACUGGCUCGAUACUGACGCUGAGGUGCGAAAGUGUGGGGAGCAAACAGG